GACAUAUAAGACACAAAUCUUCUGUAAUGACAGGUUGUCUGAUUACUAAUUUGAAAUAUGAAUGAUUGACCAUAAUUGAAAAGUACAGUGAUUUAGUGCUGUCUGCUCCACAAAAAAAGAUGAUUGAAGUAAUUGGAGAAGUUUUUUUUAUUUUUUUUUGAAGUUAUGCAUUGAUAAUAAUGCAUUUAUUUAUUUAUAAAGUCAUAGUUUCGGCCCUUUCUCUGAUGUAAAUUCUAACUGAAUGUUUUGGGCUGCUUCUGUGUAAAUGCAUACAUUGGUGUUUAUUUAAAGGCUGCGGGUUUGCUGUCGAGUUUAAUUUUUGACUGUCUCUAAUUGAUGUGAAAUGUGCUACAAGUGAUCAGUGAUCUUGAUGAAAAUAAACUCGAGCUGCUGGUUUCUAACAUUGGGAUUCUUUAGAAGGAUCUGUAGAUCUUAAAUUCAUCUGGUCUCGCCUCUGUUGCUCGUUGAUUAUUUUGUAGGAGUCGGGCUGUUGAGUCUAUAGCAGACACACCCUGCUGCGGCCACGGCAGAAAUGAUUUUGGACCAGGUUGGAAGCUCAUCUGUGAGGCCUCUGCCCUCUGUGAGGAAGUCCCGCAGGUCCGUGGCGUCCACUGGAGAGCAAAGAUGACAUUUGACAUCUUAACAGAUCUCAAACCGAUAUUAGAAAUUUACAUUGAAGUCCUGAACAAUUGACUUGGAUCUGUAAGCAACCACCUAGCAACUGCAUAGCAACGCUUUGACCACCUCAGCGUCAAGUCACAGUGAGUUUUGUAAGAAACCUCUCACAUGUUCUUCAUAAAUCUAAAAAUCUAGUUUAUUAACAGGAUGACUAAGUGCAAUCCAGCUAUGAGAAGUACUUGAAUAAAUGAUGCAUCCUUAUGGAUAAUGUGAUUAA